rnacentral:rRNA from 1 species
UACGUAGGGCGCAAGCGUUAUCCGGAAUUAUUGGGCGUAAAGAGCUCGUAGGCGGUUUGUCGCGUCUGCCGUGAAAGUCCGGGGCUCAACUCCGGAUCUGCGGUGGGUACGGGCAGACUAGAGUGUGGUAGGGGAGACUGGAAUUCCUGGUGUGGCGGUGAAAUGCGCAGAUAUCAGGAGGAACACCGAUGGCGAAGGCAGGUCUCUGGGCCACUACUGACGCUGAGAAGCGAAAGCAUGGGGAGCGAACAGG